GCCGGUGUGGUGAAAUUGGUAGACGCGGCGGACUCAAAAUCCGCUGGCCCUUGCGGGCCGUGCCGGUUCGAGUCCGGCCACCGGCACCA
rnacentral:tRNA from 1 species